ACAAAAAUAGAGAACUAUAAUGAAGGUAGAGUGAUAUUAGUAUAU
rnacentral:guide_RNA from 1 species